AUUGAACGCUGGCGGCAUGCCUUACACAUGCAAGUCGAACGGCAGCACGGGAGCAAUCCUGGUGGCGAGUGGCGAACGGGUGAGUAAUAUAUCGGAACGUGCCCAGUCGUGGGGGAUAACGUAGCGAAAGCUACGCUAAUACCGCAUACGAUCUAUGGAUGAAAGCGGGGGAUCGCAAGACCUCGCGCGAUUGGAGCGGCCGAUAUCAGAUUAGGUAGUUGGUGAGGUAAAGGCUCACCAAGCCGACGAUCUGUAGCUGGUCUGAGAGGACGACCAGCCACACUGGGACUGAGACACGGCCCAGACACCUACGGGAGGCAGCAGUGGGGAAUUUUGGACAAUGGGCGCAAGCCUGAUCCAGCAAUGCCGCGUGCAGGAUGAAGGCCUUCGGGUUGUAAACUGCUUUUGUACGGAGCGAAAAGGCUUCCGCUAAUACUGGGGGCUCAUGACGGUACCGUAAGAAUAAGCACCGGCUAACUACGUGCCAGCAGCCGCCGUAAGAC
rnacentral:rRNA from 1 species